UUUAAGACUUCACAUGCUUUUUGACGUGCUAAGAGGACGGAGAAGUAUGCACGUCUUUAAAGUAACAUGAGAAGUCUAUUACACUCCUGAGGUUUUUACUGGAAUACUUUGAUCAGAAAUAAGAAAGGCGUUUAAGCUCAGGCUGAAGGGACUGGUCAUCAUUUUUACAAUUUCCCUUGAGAGCUCAGAGUUUGCUCUUGUUUCAAGCAAACUGCAACCUUGAAGAGCAGAGUUGAGUUGGAAGGGAAAACGAGAGACUCAGCAUGUUGAAAGCUGACGGAAACUGCAAGCCCGGGAACUGAAAAUCUUUGUUGGCUGGCAGUGAAACUUGUGAGUUUGCAUUCCCAUGAAGCAUUGCUGCAUGGCAGCUGGUGGCAGACAUCCCUCAGCCAGGACUGUUCAGCUGUCUGUUAAAGCAGAUUGUUGUUGUUUUUUGUUGCAAGCACUAAAGAAGCCUCUCAGAAUGGAUCUCAUUCACCGAACCACUUUGUUAACCUGCAGCGGUCAUCCGACACACAAACCAGCCAGCGUGCCGCCUCAACUCAGCCGGGAUAUCCUUGUUUUCCGGUUCUAAACAUCUGUCCGUCCCACAGCAGAGAGGAAAACAGCAGUUUGAACUGUGGAGACAUUUUAGCGCCGUCUGUCAAAGUGACUCUUCUGGCCUUUAAGCACUCCAAAGGACCUUAGUUUCCAUGUAUCUUUGGUUCUCUAACAGCUCAACACAGAAAAAUCAACACAACCCUCAAGUGCUUGCAAUGAAGAUGUCAUUUUCUGAGACAACAUGACAAAGACAGAAAACAGGCAGCUGUGGCUCAGCUUCAAGGGAGGAACCAGCUGCAUCAACGCUCAUUUACUCUGAUGUUUGGCGUUUACUCUUGUCUCUGGACUCCCUCCUGAAGCCUGAACCUCAGCGGUCGAAACCUUCUCAUGGUCCCUCAAACUCAGGAGCAACUUUCUACAACAAGUGAACAUCAUGAGAACUUUUCUUGUUUUUCUCCAUUUAGCAUCCUCCUGGACUAUUUCUUCAUCCUUCCAUAGUUCAGAGGACUGUGACUUUAAAGAUGAAGUUCAGAGUAAAAACCAACCAAACUAACCUGAAUCACAGCCUCCAGGCCCGGCGAGCGCCGCUCCUCUUCACAGCUCAUUACUAAACUAACAAGGAUCCAGGUCCCACAAUAACGUUCAAAGCUCCACAGCGCUGUGCCAAUAAAGUUAGCAGAGUUCCUUCUAACAACAGGAAGUAGCUCAAAAACACAAAACGGAAAAGAAAAUAAACCCUGGAAGAAAUCUGCAUCCUGGAGCCCGUCUUUGGGUCCUUCUCCAGCCCAUGCACCCUGAAAACUCUCAGCCACUGAGACUUUUGGAUCGCCACGGACAUUAUCAGUCAGCAGGAAGAAACGGCUCAGACAUCCAUCCUCACCAAUGACGGGGUUGUAGCACUGCAUGGUCAGUGCGUUGAACUUCACGGCACACGAUCCGAUGACGUACAGCUUCCCGUGGCAGGCUGUCGCCGUAAAGUUAGUUACAUAUUUCAAGGCCGGACACGUUAAGGUCCAAGUGUUGUUGUAAGGAUCAUAAUGCUCAACCUCAACUCGCUCCGAUGUUGUUCCUGAAGAGAACAAAUACCCAGAAUUCACGAGAAGACGUUGAGAACUGCAUACAUGUAGUGAGCACAGAUUGGAGCUUUCUUACCUCCAAUGACAUAAAUCUCUCCGUUGAGCGUG